UACGUAGGGUGCAAGCGUUGUCCGGAAUUAUUGGACGUAAAGCGUGCGCAGGCGGUUUUGUAAGCCAGAUGUGAAAUCCCCGGGCUUAACCUGGGAAUGGCAUUUGGGACUGCAAGGCUUGAGUGCGGCAGAGGAGACUGGAAUUCCUGGUGUAGCAGUGAAAUGCGUAGAUAUCAGGAGGAACACCGAUGGCGAAGGCAGGUCUCUGGGCUGACACUGACGCUCAUGCACGAAAGCGUGGGGAGCAAACAGG
rnacentral:rRNA from 1 species